ensembl:lncRNA
CGCCACUCUGCCUCUCCGCCCCGCCGUCAUGUGGGAGCUUCGGCCGCUCCUCCUCGGCCUCGAGGUCGGCGGCUGCGGAGCGCCUCGGUUCCGAAGCGCGGUCUGAAAGGGCUCCCCAGGCGGCGGCUGUGCCGUUAUAGGAAAAAAGUGAGCGUGGAGUGUGUUAUCCCGAGCACCACUGCGAUGCUGGGCUGAGGAGUUCGUGAGGCUUUGUUCUUCCAGAAACUCCAUGGAAAUUCUCCAAGGAUCGUUACUUUGUCAUGCUCAUUAGAACUUGAGAUGAAACCUAUUGAGGUGCCUUAACAUCAUCUCCGAACACCAGGUGCUUUGGCAUUUCAGAUGUCACAUGGGUCAGGACAAAAUAGCAUUUCUAAUUGUCAGCUACAGAAUUGGACACAAAACUGUGAGAGGAGGAGGGAAAUCCCCGUAGAGAGAAUUCAAGGUUAUCACUCUGCUUCUGACAGAAUUGAAAAGCUAACUGACUGACAUGAAAGACCCAGCUUCUUCUACAGUAAUGUUCUGUAAUGGAAAGGCACUGAAGUCGUUCUGCCUUUUGUCCCAGAUCUCUCAUCUCUCAUGUAUUCUUUUCUUUCUCUGUCACAAGGUGGGUACGUUACGUUCUGUUCUGUGAAUUCUAGCUCUGAAUCCAAGUGUGUAUCUCAGGUGUGAUGACUUCAAAAAUAUGUUUAGCAUACAUAAUUGUGUGUGCUGCAUCUGAUACACACAUGCUGUAAUGUAACGGACUAAUAUAGACGUGUUUGUUGUUUAUGUACCCGUACCACGGAAAGAGAAAAAGAUGUUCUCAUGCCAUCAUAGCAGUGAGGCACCUGGUGGAAGGACACAGUUUCUCUGCCAGCAACAGGGAAACUAUUCACCUGCUGCUGGGCUUUCAAGUUAGCAGUCUAACUGGAUUUGGAGGGGCUAGCAUGAGUUCAUUGUCCGUAGGAACCCACCAAAGCAGGCCCAGGAGUGGCCUAUAAAAUUAUCCAUAUGGCAGCUGUUGGAGAUGUAACAGGAGGUAACUUCUGCUCCUGUACAAAGCACCGUGACACCUGCGACAAAGUUGAUAACAUGUGCCUUAGGUCUGUGCAGCAGGCUGCGGUCCCUGCUGGAGCUGGUGCUGAUGGGCUAGGUGAGAGGAGGUGCUUCUCGCUCAGUGCUGACAGAAGCACAAUGUUUGGUUUUCUCAUAGUUACAUAUUAUUUCACAAAAUCAAAUUGAAAUAGGCUGUCAGCUUUGAGAGGAACCUUAAACAACAAAUACGCAGUUCUGAAUACGUGGAAGUAUUCAGUGUUUGUCUGUAUGUGGGCUUU